rnacentral:rRNA from 1 species
GACGAACGCUGGCGGCGUGCCUAACACAUGCAAGUCGAGCGAGUGAAUCUCCUUCGGGAGUGAAGCUAGCGGCGGACGGGUGAGUAACACGUGGGCAACCUGCCUUGAAGUGGGGGAUAACACCGGGAAAUCGGUGCUAAUACCGCAUGAGAUACACAAACCGCAUGGUAUGGGUAUGAAAGGAGAAAUCCGCUUUAAGAUGGGCCCGCGUCUGAUUAGCUAGUUGGUAAGGUAAAGGCUUACCAAGGCGACGAUCAGUAGCCGACCUGAGAGGGUGACCGGCCACACUGGAACUGAGACACGGUCCAGACUCCUACGGGAGGCAGCAGUGGGGAAUAUUGCGCAAUGGGGGGAACCCUGACGCAGCAACGCCGCGUGGAGGAAGAAGGUCUUCGGAUUGUAAACUCCUGUCUUCUGGGAAGAUAAUGACGGUACCAGAGGAGGAAGCCACGGCUAACUACGUGCCAGCAGCCGCGGUAAGAGUCACGUCGCUGGGACUG